rnacentral:misc_RNA from 1 species
CAACCCUCAAGCCCAGCUUGGUGUUAAGCCUCACCCGUCAGGGCGGGCUGCAAAAUCAGUGGCGGUGCCAUUCGGCUUCAAGCGUAGUAAUUCUUCUCGCUUUGGAGGACCGGGUGCGUGCCUGCCAGCAACCCCAAUUUUAUCAAA